rnacentral:rRNA from 1 species
GGUUGACCUCGAAUCAGGUA